GCGGGAGUAGCUCAGUGGUAGAGCACCACGUUGCCAACGUGGUUGUCGCGGGUUCGAUCCCCGUCUCCCGCUC
rnacentral:tRNA from 1 species